rnacentral:rRNA from 1 species
GAGUAACACGUGAGUAACCUGCCCUUGACUCUGGGAUAAGCCUGGGAAACUGGGUCUAAUACUGGAUAUGACCAAUUGGUGCAUGCCAUGUUGGUGGAAAGCUUUAUUGCGGUUUUGGAUGGACUCGCGGCCUAUCAGCUUGUUGGUGGGGUAAUGGCCUACCAAGGCGACGACGGGUAGCCGGCCUGAGAGGGUGGACGGCCACACUGGGACUGAGACACGGCCCAGACUCCUACGGGAGGCAGCAGUGGGGAAUAUUGCACAAUGGGCGCAAGCCUGAUGCAGCGACGCCGCGUGGGGGAUGAAGGCCUUCGGGUUGUAAACCUCUUUCAGUAGGGAAGAAGCGUAAGUGACGGUACCUGCAGAAGAAGCGCCGGCUAACUACGUGCCAGCAGCCGCGGUAAUACGUAGGGCGCAAGCGUUAUCCGGAAUUAUUGGGCGUAAAGAGCUCGUAGGCGGUUUGUCGCGUCUGCCGUGAAAGUCCGGGGCUUAACUCCGGAUCUGCGGUGGGUACGGGCAGACUAGAGUGAUGUAGGGGAGACUGGAAUUCCUGGUGUAGCGGUGAAAUGCGCAGAUAUCAGGAGGAACACCGAUGGCGAAGGCAGGUCUCUGGGCAUUAACUGACGCUGAGGAGCGAAAGCAUGGGGAGCGAACAGGAUUAGAUACCCUGGUAGUCCAUGCCGUAAACGUUGGGCACUAGGUGUGGGGGACAUUCCACGUUUUCCGCGCCGUAACUAACGCAUUACGUGCCCCGCCGGGGGAGACCGCCGCAAGCUAAAA